rnacentral:rRNA from 1 species
UGGGGAAUAUUGCGCAAUGGACGAAAGUCUGACGCAGCGACGCCGUGUGAGUGAAGAAGGCCUUCGGGUUGUAAAGCUCUGUCGAGCGGGAAGAAAAUUUCUUGGGUUAACAGCCCAGGAACUUGACGGUACCGCGAGAGGAAGCACCGGCUAACUCCGUGCCAGCAGCCGCGGUAAUACGGAGGGUGCAAGCGUUGCUCGGAAUUAUUGGGCGUAAAGCGUGAGUAGGUGGUCCUGUUUGUCCCUGGUGAAAGCCCAAGGCUCAACCUUGGAAGUGCCCGGGAAACGGCAGGACUAGAGUCCUAGAGAGGGUCGCGGAAUUCCCGGUGUAGCGGUGAAAUGCGUAGAGAUCGGGAGGAACACCUGAGGCGAAAGCGGCGACCUGGAUAGGUACUGACAC